CCUACGGGAGGCAGCAGUGGGGAAUAUUGCACAAUGGGCGCAAGCCUGAUGCAGCAACGCCGCGUGAGGGACGACGGCCUUCGGGUUGUAAACCUCUUUUAGUAGGGAAGAAGCGAAAGUGACGGUACCUGCAGAAAAAGCACCGGCUAACUACGUGCCAGCAGCCGCGGUAAUACGUAGGGUGCAAGCGUUGUCCGGAAUUAUUGGGCGUAAAGAGCUCGUAGGCGGUUUGUCGCGUCUGCUGUGAAAACCCGAGGCUCAACCUCGGGCCUGCAGUGGGUACGGGCAGACUAGAGUGCGGUAGGGGAGAUUGGAAUUCCUGGUGUAGCGGUGGAAUGCGCAGAUAUCAGGAGGAACACCGAUGGCGAAGGCAGAUCUCUGGGCCGUAACUGACGCUGAGGAGCGAAAGCAUGGGGAGCGAACAGGAUUAGAUACCCUGGUAGUCCAUGCCGUAAACGUUGGGAACUAGAUGUAGGGACCAUUCCACGGUUUCUGUGUCGCNGCUACGCAUACGUCCCGUCCGUCGGGUAGGUACGGCCGCGAGACGUAAACGUAAAGUAAGUAGUAGUUAGNGUGAGACGUGCGAGGCGACGACGAGGGAGAGG
rnacentral:rRNA from 1 species